GUGCUGCCUGCAAAUGUAGCCACUUAAGCCUCAGUUGUUGGUUGUAGUUUUAGGUUGUGGUUGGAAACAUGGGAGGUGCUUGGAUUCUCUCAACCUUUGCAGUGGCAUUGUGGCUUAAAGGGUCCUGUUUACCCAUUUCUCAAAGUGAGCUGCAAGAGGAACAAAAUAACUUAUUGACAGAAAAAGAAAUUGCUGUGAAGAACAUUAUCCAGUCAAGGUAUUCCAAGAUGCUGCAAAAAGUUCAACUGGAAGCCAAAGAAGUGGAUGCCUUAAUAAA